rnacentral:rRNA from 1 species
AUUGAACGCUGGCGGCAGGCCUAACACAUGCAAGUCGAGCGAGCGGCGGACGGGUGUGAAAUGUAUGGGGAUCUGCCUGAUGGAGGGGGAUAACUUCUGGAAACGGUAGCUAAUACCGCCUACCAUCAUAAGAACCCAUAUGGGAUUAGCUUGUAGGUGAGGUAACGGCUCACCUAGGCGAAGAUCCAUAGCUGGUCUGAGCGGAUGCUCAGCCACACUGGGACUGAGACACGGCCCAGACUCCUACGGGAGGCAGCAGUGGGGAAUAUUGCACAAUGGGCGCAAGCCUGAUGCAGCCAUGCCGCGUGUAUGAAGAAGGCCGUCGGGUUGUAAAGUACUGUCAGUCGGGAGGCGGUACCGACAGAAGAAGCACCGGCUAACUCCGUGCCAGCAGCCGCGGUAAUAC